UACAGAGGGUGCAAGCGUUAAUCGGAAUUACUGGGCGUAAAGCGUGCGUAGACGGUUACAUAAGUCGGGUGUGAAAGCCCCGGGCUCAACCUGGGAAUUGCAUUCGAGACUGCGUAGCUAGGGUGCGGAAGAGGGAAGCGGAAUUUACGGUGUAGCGGUGAAAUGCGUAGAUAUCGUAAGGAAGACCAGUGGCGAAGGCGGGUCUCUGGACAGUUCCUGACGCUGAGGCACGAAGGCCAGGGGAGGACAAACCGGGG
rnacentral:rRNA from 1 species